rnacentral:rRNA from 1 species
AGUGAACGCUGGCGGUAGGCCUAACACAUGCAAGUCGAACGGCAGCACAGUAAGAGCUUGCUCUUACGGGUGGCGAGUGGCGGACGAGUGAGGAAUACAUCGAAAUCUACUUUUUCGUGGGGGAUAACGUAGGGAAACUUACGCUAAUACCGCAUACGACCUACGGGUGAAAGCAGGGGAUCUUCGGACCUUGCGCGAUUGAAUGAGCCGAUGUCGGAUUAGCUAGUUGGCGGGGUAAAGGCCCACCAAGGCGAUGAUCCGUAGCUGGUCUGAGAGGAUGAUCAGCCACACUGGAACUGAGACACGGUCCAGACUCCUACGGGAGGCAGCAGUGGGGAAUAUUGGACAAUGGGCGCAAGCCUGAUCCAGCCAUACCGCGUGGGUGAAGAAGGCCCUCGGGUUGUAAAGCCCUUUUGUUGGGAAAGAAAAGCAGCAGGUUAAUACGCCGCUGUUCUGACGGUACCCAAAGAAUAAGCACCGGCUAACUUCGUG